AUAAAUGAACAAAUAUGUAUUUUGAAUUUUGUAAAAAUAUGAAGUACGAAAUUCAAUAAUAUGCUAAUCUAACAACAUUAUUAAUAUUGUUACUAUUACUUUGAUACAUUGAAAUCGAUGAAGGUUUAAAAAACGAUAAACAAGAGGUUAAGUUGCGAUUUCAUGAAACGUGAAACGCAUAAACGCAGCCUUACAUUGUAUUUUCAUAUAGUACAACACGCCGAUGGAAAUAAUAAUCGAUAAGUUGGUCGUUUUUGUAUUCUCGGGUCUACUUGUUAACGAUUGCGAUCGAGAUGAAUUGCCGUGUUUUCGAUACAUAGGACGUUCAGUGCUUCCGAACCGAACGAACUGUAUAUUCUUUGAUUCGAUGAUCACGUUCGCUGUUUAUCGAUAUUAGAGUGUCCAAGAGAGCAUCUUACAAUUUGCGCGAUUUAUAUUGAAAGGAUAAGGUUAAAUUGAGAUAACCGGAAAUAACAUGAGAAGUAAAGAAAAGUAAGAGAAAAAAGAGCUGUAUUACGUGCAAGCGAGAAAGAGUAGUUAUCAGGAUAGAUAGUCAGAGUUUUGUAAGUGAAAAAGAGCAAAACAUCUAUUUUUCACGAGACGGCGAUCGUGAAAAUAUGUACAAUAAGUUCAAUUGUAAAUACGUCACGCGUAAAUAUCUUACUUAAGUAUAUAUAAUAUCGUUCGAAGAAACGAUCAUAAUAAUAAUUAUAAUAAUAUCAAUAUACUAGCCGUAAGGCCAAAAAUUUUGCUCCUUAAAAAUACUUUUCUAAGUAGACAAAACAGAAAAAAAAACGCGCGUUUAAACGAGUCAUUGUUUUUUAGCUAAGUAAACUCGAUUUCCACGCUUUAACGUUAUAUAAAAAAAAAAUACCGCAAAAAAAAAAAAAAAAUGAUAGAUAUACGGUAUUCAUAAUGCCGGAAAAAUAAAAUAUUAAACAAGCAAGAUGACGAGACUUUUUUGUAUGAACUAAUUUUUUUCAUAUAAUUCGCGUUUAUUAGAUAUAAGAUGAUUGAUAUAAAUCGUUGAAUAUAAUACGUCGUCGCAAUACAUGAGAUGAUGAAAAAGGAAAAGGAAAUAACUGAAGUCGAUAUAUUUAGAAAUGAGUAUAUGGAAAAUAUUAAUCGAAAUUAAAUUAAAACAACUCGAUUCCACGCAUUGAGAAUGAAAGAAGCAAUACAAUAUGUAUUGUAAAAGUAUUAAAUACGUGUGGAUUUAUUUUAAUUAUUUUCCGUUUCACACGCUAAAAGAUGAAAAAUGAAAAAGAAAGAAACAAAGAACCGAUAAAUGAUGUACUAGUAUAUUUAAAAAAACUUAUGUAUACAUAGGAAUGAAGAAAGGGAGAUGUCUGCAUAGGAAUUGAAAAAAUAAAUUUUAUCUUUGGUGCAUAAAGGAAGUAUAAAAUAAUUAAUAAUUAUUAAUGAUUAUUAUUUAAUCAUUAAAACAAAAAGAAACAGGAGAAAAAAAAUGGCCUAUAUAUAGAAAAGAAUCGUUCUUCUUUAAUUUUUUUAUUUUUCUUAGGCGAAACCGACGGACUGUAUAGCGUAUAGACGUAAUAAAUUUAGCGAUCAAAAAGAGGACUCGAAUUCUAGAGAUGAGGAGAGAAGAAGACAACGCACUUACGAUCAUUUUCUUUUUAAAUGUAAAACUCGCACUUGCACUCUAUUUAUCUUUUUCUGCGUUCUAUGAUGUUCGCGCGGCGACAAUUGUAUUAUUCAAGUGUAUAAUAGACCACUUAGCCCAUAAACCGAUAUAAAAGAUAUUAAUUCGAUAAUUGGACUCGAUCAACGUUUUUGUCCAAGGUGAUGCAGCCAAGAUUAUUUUUAUCCCCUUGAAAACGCCGACCUAAACAUUGCAAUAGUAUAUUAAUCUCGAAAAAUUUCACGAUCAAUAGGAAUUUUUGUUACUAUUAAUUUCUUUAAUAUUUAUUUAAAAAGAGAAGACAAAAAUUUCUCAAUAGUUUUGUUUAAAACGUUUGUUGAAGAAAAAUUCUGUUCUGCCAGUUUGAACAGUACAACGCAAUGCAGAAAUCAAAAAAAAUAAAUUGACUGUAUCGUCUUGCGCAUGCCUGUGUAUUAUAGUGAAACGCACGAAUUAUCAUGUGUCAUAUAAAUAUAUACAUAUAAAUAUAAAAUAUAUAUAUAUAUAUAAAUACAAAAAAUAUAUAUAUAAAUAACUAACAAUAAUGAUAAUAAUUAAGUACCUUACAUAUAAGCAGUAUCCAAGAAAUCCGAACUAGUUGCACCAAGUGCCAUAGUCCAUAGGUCACAGUACGUUUAACAUAGCGAGGGUGAGACUAUUCGUAGCAGUUGCUAGGAAUGAAAGAAAAGAAAAAGUAUAAAAAAAAUGGGGAAAAACUGAAAAAAACAUCCAUAUAGAAUGAAUAAAAAAAGAAAGAAGAAAACGAAAAAAGAAAAAGCAGGUCGAACACGUAGCGUUCGACGACUAGCUAUGUCGUGUUCUUAUUGCUUAUUGUUAAGGCAAACGAGCGCGAAGCAGCAGCAAGCAAUCAGCUAAAAACACGCAAGGAAGAAAAAAAAGUAAAGGGAGAAAGAGAAGGAAAGUUAUGUAGUCCGUGUGACCCGAGAUUUCCAAUGGGCCGGUUUCGCCCAUCUUUUGGAGAACGUUUUAGAGCAUAAAGCAGACACCAAUAUGACAAUAUACUAAUGAAAUUAAUUUCCGGCUCGGUUACUAUUACCCAUUGCCUCCACAUCCCCUUUAAAAGAAACUUGGAAAAACGAAAAAAAAAAAAACAAAACACC
rnacentral:lncRNA from 1 species